CUGGACUCUAUUAGCAUACCUGAGUCUCAUAAUGAGGGCAGAUUGCGGAGGAAAACCUUGGUUACCAAAGUACAGAAAUGUUUAGACCGUAUUGAUUGUUUAAGUCAAGGAAUCAAUGAGAUGCUGUCAAGACGACCAUAAAAAACAUUAACUCUCAACCAGGCCAUGUUGAUUUUUUAAAACUAGGAUUUAAGAAACUCCAGAAAUUUUAGUGGGCUGUAUACAAAAUUGAAAGUUGUUAAAAUUUAAAUUUGAAAGAAAAUCAAAGUGAAUCAGUAUAUAACAGGUAGAGGUGUUUUCUGAACCGAUAAUUAUGAAAUAUAUGUUGUGAUAUUAAAAACAGCUGUAUAUUAUCUGAGUGUGUGUGUCAAUGUGAUAAUGUAUUUUUAAAACACAUUUGUACAUAAAACCUCCUCAUUUCAUGUCAUAUCUGUUUAUUUAAUCUAACAUCUCUUGGAGCAAAUUGUCAAAGUAAUUUCCUUCCGAGAUCAGAAAAUUGUAAUUAAACUGUUGUCAUUUCAAAUUUUCAGGUAAUAUAAGAUAUUAUAAUGCUAUCAUUACACUUAACCAGGUCCGUAGACAUCAUGAUACUUUGCUCUAGACUUAUUAUUUUGUAUCUACAGGGAUAUAUAUAGCGUGUUUUGGUUUAAUAGUCAGUCUGAAAACUCAAAACUGUACCCAAAAUUAUGUGUGCUGUUUUUCAAAGAUAGCAUUUAGCAUUAACUCAUACCUCUCGAGUUCUUCCUUUUUGUUAACUUGUGAUGUUCUUUAAAAGCUUGCCAUUUGAUAAUUAUUUUAUAUUUGAAGAAUUAGGUAUUCUUUCAAUGAAGAUUUUAUUUGGAAAUUGCUGUCGAGAUUUACUACUCGAACUUAUUAGUUUUAAUAACAUUUCAAGCCAGUCCAAAAUAUGUCUGUUUAAAAUAGCUCAAAGAACGUGUUGAACCUUGUAUUAAGAGGUUAUGUUCUACGGAUUGGUCUCGUAUCAAGAUUGCGGUGCUGUAUUAAUGUACUAACUGUCUGGUGACUUUAUAUCUCAAAUAAAGUUUCUCUAUAUUUGCA